GUGCCAGCCGCCGCGGUAAUACGAAGGUGGCAAGCGUUGUUCGGAAUCACUGGGCUUAAAGAGCACGUAGGCGGCCUUGUAAGCGCUUUGUGAAAUCCCCCGGCUCAACCGGGGAAUUGCUGGGCGGACUGCAAGGCUUGAGGCAGGUAGGGGUGCGUGGAACUCUAGGUGGAGCGGUGAAAUGCGUAGAUAUCUAGAGGAACGCCAGCGGCGAAAGCGGCGCACUGGGCCUGUCCUGACGCUGAGGUGCGAAAGCUAGGGGAGCAAACGGGAUUAGAAACCCCCGUAGUCC
rnacentral:rRNA from 1 species